rnacentral:tRNA from 1 species
GGAGAGGUGGGUGAGUGGCUUAAACCAGCAGUUUGCUAAACUGCCGUACACCUUUAUCGUGUACCGGGGGUUCGAAUCCCCCUCUCUCCGCAA